UAAAAAAAAAUAAAAAAACAAAUCGAAAAAAAAUCUAAUCUUAAGUAAAAAGUGGUUGUUAUUUUUUUUAUUAUUUCGGCUUAAGCGCGAAGUGAAACCAAUCUUAGGAUUAAGCGGAAAGUGUUUGAUUUAGUUAUUUUGUUCCCGUUCAGAGGUUAUGUAAUGUAACUAUAGUGUAUUUUCAUUUAUCCUUCCGUAUACCCAUUGGCACUCCUCACUAUUUACGCACGUGGAUCUACAAGAAAAACAUGCUGAAAUUUUAUAAGAAGAAAGAGAGACAGAAAAAAGAACAAACAGGAUUUGACUGCGACGCUGUACCCGGAUUGAACCAUACACCUUUCGAGAUAACUCACUGAAUCUUUUAGAAUUUUCACUUUUAUUCCCGGAUUGGACUAUACCUAUGAUAAUGUGAGAGUGGACUGAUUCUGAAGGUUAUAUGUAUGAACGAACGCAACUCUAGUUUCCCGAUUUCGUCUAUAUAUUUAUAUAUUUUUAGCAGUCCAUUUUCAAUUCGCUCUUCGAAACAUCUUUUUCAGACAACGCCCAUGUUUCCAAGACAGAUGGCAGCCCAUACACAUUUUUCGGCACUGUAGCUCUUUUUUAAGCAGUGCGGAGUUUUGAUAUUCGCAGAAGGGGAAAGCUACCUAUGCAAAUAUAUUUUGAUAUGAAAAUCCUAAAUAUUAUGUAUAUUUUGAUACGAAAAUCCCAAAUGUUAUGUAUAUUUUGAUACGAAAAUCGUAAAUCUUAUGUAUAUUUU